rnacentral:rRNA from 1 species
AUUGAACGCUGGCGGCAGGCCUAACACAUGCAAGUCGAACGGUAACAGGAAGAAGCUUGCUUCUUUGCUGACGAGUGGCGGACGGGUGAGUAAUGUCUGGGAAACUGCCUGAUGGAGGGGGAUAACUACUGGAAACGGUAGCUAAUACCGCAUAACGUCGCAAGCCCAAAGAGGGGGACCUUCGGGCCUCUUGCCAUCGGGUGUGCCCAGAUGGGAUUAGCUAGUAGGUGGGGUAACGGCUCACCUAGGCGACGAUCCCUAGCUGGUCUGAGAGGAUGACCAGCCACACUGGAACUGAGACACGGUCCAGACUCCUACGGGAGGCAGCAGUGGGGAAUAUUGCACAAUGGGCGCAAGCCUGAUGCAGCCAUGCCGCGUGUAUGAAGAAGGCCUUCGGGUUGUAAAGUACUUUCAGCGGGGAGGAAGGGAGUAAAGUUAAUACCUUUGCUCAUUGACGGUACCCGCAGAAGAAGCACCGGCUAACUCCGUG